CCUACGGGAGGCAGCAGUGGGGAAUAUUGGGCAAUGGGCGCAAGCCUGACCCAGCAACGCCGCGUGAAGGAAGAAGGCUUUCGGGUUGUAAACUUCUUUUAGUAGGGAAGAGCAAAAGACGGUACCUCUUGAAUAAGCCACGGCUAACUACGUGCCAGCAGCCGCGGUAAUACGUAGGUGGCAAGCGUUGUCCGGAUUUAUUGGGUGUAAAGGGCGUGCAGACGGGAAGGCAAGUCAGAUGUGAAAUCCCGGGGCUCAACCACGGACCUGCAUUUGAAACUGUUUGUCUUGAGUACCGGAGAGGUCAUCGGAAUUCCGUGUGUAGCGGUGAAAUGCGUAGAUAUAAGGAAGAACACCAGUGGCGAAGGCGGAUGACUGGACGGCAACUGACGGUGAGGCGCGAAAGCGUGGGGAGCAAACAGGAUUAGAUACCCGAGUAGUC
rnacentral:rRNA from 1 species